GGACUACUGGGGUAUCUAAUCCCGUUUGCUCCCCUGGCUUUCGCGCCUCAGCGUCAGUAGAGGUCCAGCGCGCUGCUUUCGCCAUCGGUGUUCCUUCCGAUAUCUACGCAUUUCACCGCUCCACCGGAAGUUCCGCACGCCCCUACCUCCCUCGAGACAGUCAGUAUCAGGGGCACUUCCACGGUUGAGCCGUGGGAUUUCACCUCUGACUUGACCGCCCGCCUACGCGCCCUUUAAGCCCAGUGAUUCCGAACAACGUUCGCACGGUUCGUCUUACCGCGGCUGCUGGCAC
rnacentral:rRNA from 1 species